CUAGAAUAAAAAAACGCGCAUGCGCAAGAUUUCUUUCUUUGCAGAAUGGGUUCUGCCACGGAGAUUUUCAGGAGCUGCGGAAUUGCCAAAGCAGUAUGUUUUAACAUGUUGAAUUGCACCUGUACAGGUAACCCAGAAAACCAAGGUCAUGGGUGAUCUAGAAAAGAAAUGAACUACUGGAAAGAAGUAACCUGAUCAUCGCUGUCUCAAGACAUAAUCAAGUAUUAGAUGGAGAGUGAGGAGCAUGGAUCUGAAUUGGCUACAGUUUGUGUUGUCGAGAAAUGGAACAUGGACGCUUCAGUAUAUGAGACUUCUGUGACAAUGUAGGAGCGAGUUAACGAUUGAGUUUUGGAGAAGACUGGCAUGAAAAUGCAUUUUAAAAAAAGUUCGCAGCUCCUGGUGCAUAGUUGUAUACAAACUGCAAGAUCUGCUGGUGGAACUCUUUCAAGGUCAAGUCUCGUCUGUGCAGGGACUCCAGGUCACACAGAUCACAGGGAAACACUGCAUCAGGUGGAAUAACAAGCGUAGAGGCACCUACGUUCCCAAGACAGUCUCAAAAGCUUGUUCUUGACUCAGAAAUAAAUGUAUUUAAUAAUGAUGUGAUUAAUGUUCAUUCAUAUCUAAAUAAAGUUGUGAAUAAAA